UGAUCCACAAUACAUCCCACUCUAUAAAGCACAUCCUCUUAACUGAUUCCCAAAUCCACUGUCUGAACAUUGGCAAUUCUUUCUCUCCGUUUCCGAUUUGGGUUUUUGAGUCAGAAGGGUGUCUCAGGUUCUCAGUGAAUUUUAGUGCGGUUAGGGUUUGAGAUAUGGAGACUGGUGGUAAGUUGAAGAAAGGUGCCGGAGGAAGGAAGGGCGGCGGUCCGAAGAAGAAGGCGGUGACCCGGUCCGUCAGGGCCGGCCUCCAGUUCCCAGUCGGAAGAAUCGGCCGCUACUUGAAGAAGGGACGGUAUGCGCAAAGAGUCGGGUCUGGAGCUCCGGUUUACUUAGCCGCUGUGCUCGAGUACCUCGCAGCUGAAGUCCUGGAGUUGGCUGGAAAUGCAGCUCGGGACAACAAGAAGAACAGGAUUAUCCCAAGGCAUCUGCUACUGGCCGUGAGGAACGAUGAGGAGCUUGGAAAAUUGCUUGCUGGUGUGACCAUUGCUCACGGCGGUGUGCUUCCAAACAUCAACCCGGUCCUCCUGCCCAAGAAAUCAGAGAAAGCCGCCGGAAAGGAGCCAAAAUCUCCAACCAAGGCAACCAACUAUCUGUAAUAUGCAGGGCUUUCCUGGGAUACAAAUGAACCUGUUCUUAAGGAAGCUUUCGGAAAACAUGGUGAAAUAAUUGAAGUUAAAGUUAUUUGUGAUCAUGUGAGUGGGAAAUCGAGAGGGUAUGGAUUUGUGAAAUUUACCUCUGAAAGUGAAGCCACCAUUGCUCUCAAGGAGAUGGAUGGUCAGGUUCUGGAUGGCAGACAAAUCCGCUUGCAAUUUGCACACAAGGAGUAGUGACAUUGAUCUGAGGUACAGUGGAUUGGAGGGGGCAUGCAGCAUGCCGCAUGCUGUGGUAGGUAGUGGUAACCAGCAAGUCCAAAUUUAAGUUGCCCACAAAUUGUUGUUGUCCAUUGACAAUUCUGUAAAAUUCUGAGUGAUAAUUUUUUCCAGUUAGUGUCGUCAUCUAUGAAAUCAAGAUAUUUGAAGA